rnacentral:lncRNA from 1 species
CAGAAAAUUCAAUCAUGUGCGUUUAUAAUCCCUCAUGUAAUACUUGCCAAGGAGAUUCAGGGGGUCCAUUAACAAUGGAAGUGGAAGGAUUCUGUACAUUAGUAGGAGUUACUUCUCAGGGGUUCAAUGUGGAGAGUUGGGUUAUGGUGGUACGCAUACGAAUGUUUCACACUUUUUGGAUUGGAUCCUUGAUAAUAUAUCAGUUUCUUGCUCUGAACCGUUCAUCAUAUGAAACUUGUUGAUUAUGUCAUGUGGGGGAUAUUACUUAUCUGUUUUUGCAUAUAUUUUCUUUUACUUUCAAUAAUGUACGUAUUCUGUGACUGUUAUUUCUAAAUAAACCUUUGUAGAGUAGCGCCUAA